rfam:Brachypodium distachyon strain Bd21 chromosome 2, whole genome shotgun sequence.
CAGCUACUCCCUUUGUUCCAUAAUUCUUGUCUCAAAUUUGCCUAAAAAUGGAUGUAUCAAUUCCUAAAAAGCGUCUAGAUACAUGUAAUAUUUUGACAAGAAUUAUGGAACGGAGGUAGUACAUU